rnacentral:rRNA from 1 species
UGUAUACGAGACGCUACGGCGUCGAAGCAGUCUAUGUCAUACUUCCAAGAAAAGCUUGCACUGUCAUAAACAAAUAAUGCCUGUACCAUAACCGACACAGGUGGGUAGGUAGAGUAUACUAAGGGGCGCGAGAUAACUCUCUCUAAGGAACUCGGCAAAAUGACUCCGUAACUUCGGGAGAAGGAGUGCCUUAUUUAUAAGGUUGCAAUAACAAGAUCCAAGCAACUGUUUAUCAAAAACACAGGUCUCCGCUAAGUCGCGAGACGAUGUAUGGGGGCUGACGCCUGCCCAGUGCCAGAAGGUUAAAGAAGUUGGUUAGCAUUAGCGAAGCUGAUAACUGAAGCCCUGGUGAACGGCGGCCGUAACAAUAACGGUCCUAAGGUAGCGAAAUUCCUUGUCGGGUAAGUUCCGACCCGCACGAAAGGCGUAAUGAUUUGGAUACUGUCUCGGAGAGGGACUCGGUGAAAUAGACUUGUCUGUGAAGAUGCGGACUACCUGCACCAGGACAGAAAGACCCUAUGAAGCUUUACUGUAACCUGAAAUUGAAAUUGGACUUUAUUUGCGCAGUAUAGGUGGGAGGCAUCGAUAAUAUUCUUGCGGGAAUGUUGGAGCCAUCAGUGAGAUACCACUCUUGUAAUGUUAGAUUUCUAACUUUGUAUCAUUAUCUGGUCAAAGAACAGUUUCAGGCGGGCAGUUUGACUGGGGCGGUCGCCUCCCAAAUGGUAACGGAGGCGCACAAAGGUUUCCUCUGAACGGGUAGAAAUCGUAUCUAGAGUGUAAAGGCAUAAGGGAGCUUGACUGUGAGACCUACAAGUCGAGCAGGGACGAAAGUCGGUCUUAGUGAUCUGACGGUGCUGAGUGGAAAGGCCGUCACUCAACGGAUAAAAGUUACUCUAAGGAUAACAGGCUGAUCUCCCCCAAGAGUUCACAUCGACGGGGAGGUUUGGCACCUCGAUGUCGGCUCAUCGCAUCCUGGGGCGGUAGUACGUCCCAAGGGUUGGGCUGUUCGCCCAUGAAAGCGGUACGCGAGCUGGGUUCAGAACGUCGUGAGACAGUUCGGUCCAUAUCCGGUGUAGGCGUUAGAAUAUUGAGAGGAGCCUUCUUUAGUACGAGAGGACCGAGAAGGACAUACCUCUGGUGUACCAGUUAUCGUGCCAACGGUAAACGCUGGGUAGCUAUGUAUGGAGAGGAUAACCGCUGAAAGCAUCUAAGUGGGAAGCCCACCUCAAGAUAAG